rnacentral:rRNA from 1 species
CCUACGGGAGGCAGCAGUGGGGAAUAUUGGGCAAUGGGCGCAAGCCUGACCCAGCAACGCCGCGUGAAGGAAGAAGGCUCUCGGGUUGUAAACUUCUUUUAUCAGGGACGAAGGAAGUGACGGUACCUGAUGAAUAAGCCACGGCUAACUACGUGCCAGCAGCCGCGGUAAUACGUAGGUGGCAAGCGUUAUCCGGAUUUACUGGGUGUAAAGGGCGUGUAGGCGGGAAGGCAAGUCAGAGGUGAAAACCAUGGGCUCAACCUGUGGCCUGCAUUUGAAACUGUUUUGCUUGAGUACUGGAGAGGCAGACGGAAUUCCUAGUGUAGCGGUGAAAUGCGUAGAUAUUAGGAGGAACACCAGUGGCGAAGGCGGUCUGCUGGACAGCAACUGACGCUGAGGCGCGAAAGCGUGGGGAGCAAACAGGAUUAGAUACCCUAGUAGUC